rnacentral:ncRNA from 2 species
UCCCGUCAUCAAGAGAAGGGCUGGCGCCCUCGCCAACCUGCCCGACCGGGCAAGGUGGUUUCCCUGACGGAUCCAGUCGUUGCAUGCAACGACCGAAGAGUUCGGGGAUGUGGCCGCGAAAGCGGCAACGAAACGGUCAACG